UAGGGAAUCUUCCGCAAUGGACGCAAGUCUGACGGAGCAACGCCGCGUGAGUGAAGAAGGAUUUCGGUUCUUAAAACUCUGUUGUUAGAGAAGAACAGCGCAUAGAGUAACUGUUAUGCGUGUGACGGUAUCUAACCAGAAAGCCACGGCUAACUACGUGCCAGCAGCCGCGGUAAUACGUAGGUGGCAAGCGUUGUCCGGAUUUAUUGGGCGUAAAGCGAGCGCAGGCGGUCAAUUAAGUCUGAUGUGAAAGCCCCCGGCUCAACCGGGGAGGGUCAUUGGAAACUGGUUGACUUGAGUGCAGAAGAGGAGAGUGGAAUUCCAUGUGUAGCGGUGAAAUGCGUAGAUAUAUGGAGGAACACCAGUGGCGAAGGCGACUCUAUGGUCUGUAACUGACGCUGAGGCUCGAAAGCGUGGGUAGCAAACAGG
rnacentral:rRNA from 1 species